CCCUGAAGCAUUAUAAUGUCAAUAUCAUGUUCACUUUGUAACAUUAACGUUCCUAUUUAUUAAGUUUGCAACCUACCACUUUUCCUUGUUCCUUGUGUUGAAGGGAAUGUUUAACUUUGACCAGAAUUGAUCAAAACAUCUUUUUGCCGUAUACUUGAAGUACAGUUGGAAGAAUGAGAAUGCCGCCACAGUUAUUCAGCUUCAUUAUGAUAUUUCUUCACUUGCAGGCAUGAUAUUAGCUAAUGGAGGAGAAUGGGGAAAAAAAAAAAAACUGAGACAUUCCAUUCUAUUUGCCAGUUCUGCCAUGUUUCAUUUAGCUUCUGUAAUGGAUAUCUUGGUCUAACGAACCUUAUAAGUUGCACAAGUAUUUAUGGUUCUAAGCAUUUGUCUGCCACUUUUGUAUACGAAAUGCGUCGUUGGAGUAAUCUUGUAGUUCCUACGGAAUGCAGACGAUGGGGCGGUCCAGAUCAUAUGUGGCCUUGUAUUGCAUUGGUCCACGCGGAAAAGACUAUUUCUUGAAGUGUCAUGGACGAAGAUGGAAUGGGGAAUAUAUCAUAAGUCUAAAGAAGGUGCACGGAUUUUUCUAAGUAGUGGAAAAACGUUGUCACAUAAAGUUAGAAUCCAAUAUCAAUAUAACAGUUGGCAGAAUCUCUAUUAUUAAGGAGUUUUCUUUUUCUUUCUCCCUCUAAUGUAAAAGUUUUUCUUUUUAUAUAUAUAUAUAUAAUAUAAUGAAAUCGAUUAUCAAA